UACAGAGGUGGCAAGCGUUGUUCGGAAUUACUGGGCGUAAAGGGCGCGUAGGCGGCCUUCUAAGUCAGACGUGAAAUCCCCCGGCUUAACCGGGGAACUGCGUCUGAUACUGGAUGGCUUGAGUUUGGGAGAGGGAUGCGGAAUUCCAGGUGUAGCGGUGAAAUGCGUAGAUAUCUGGAGGAACACCAAUGGCGAAAGCAGCUCUCUGGGACGGUACUGACGCUGAGGUGCGAAAGCGUGGGGAGCAAACAGG
rnacentral:rRNA from 1 species